CCUACGGGCGGCAGCCGUGAGGAAUAUUGGUCAAUGGACGAGAGUCUGAACCAGCCAAGUAGCGUGAAGGAUGACUGCCCUAUGGGUUGUAAACUUCUUUUAUAUGGGAAUAAAACGUUCCACGUGUGGGAUUUUGUAUGUACCAUAUGAAUAAGGAUCGGCUAACUCCGUGCCAGCAGCCGCGGUAAUACGGAGGAUCCGAGCGUUAUCCGGAUUUAUUGGGUUUAAAGGGAGCGUAGGUGGAUUGUUAAGUCAGUUGUGAAAGUUUGCGGCUCAACCGUAAAAUUGCAGUUGAAACUGGCAGUCUUGAGUACAGUAGAGGUGGGCGGAAUUCGUGGUGUAGCGGUGAAAUGCUUAGAUAUCACGAAGAACUCCGAUUGCGAAGGCAGUUCACUGGACUGCAACUGACACUGAGGCUCGAAAGUGUGGGUAUCAAACAGGAUUAGAUACCCUGGUAGUC
rnacentral:rRNA from 1 species